CGCGUAGGUGGUCUUGUAAGCGGGGGAUGAAAGCCCAUGGCUCACCCAUGGAACUGUCCUUCGGACUGCAAGGCUGGAGGGCGGGGAGGGGGAGGAAUGGAAUUCCCGGUGUAGCGGUGAAAUGCGUAGAUAUCGGGAGGAACGCCGGUGGCGAAAGCGAUUCUCUGGCCCGUCCCUGACACUGAGGCGCGAGAGCUAGGGGAAGGCAAACAA
rnacentral:rRNA from 1 species